AAUCAACGCUGGCGGCGUGCCUCAGACAUGCAAGUCGAACGCGAAAGGUUCCUUCGGGAGCCGAGUAGAGUGGCGCUCGGGUGAGUAACACGUAGGUAAUUUGCCUUUGGGUGGGGAAUAACAAUCGGAAACGGUUGCUAAUACCGCAUAAUGCAGCGGCUCGACAUCGAGACAGUUGUUAAAGCGGGGGAUCCUUCGGGACCUCGCGCCUAAAGAGAAGCCUGCGGCGGAUUAGCAGUUGGUGAGGUAAUGGCUCACCAAGGCGACGAUCCGUAACCGGCCUGAGAGGGCGGACGGUCACACUGACACUUAAAUACGGGUCAGACUCCUACGGGAGGCAGCAGUCGGGAAUUUGGGCAAUGGGCGAAAGCCUGACCCAGCAACGCCGCGUGAAGGAUGAAAUCCCUCGGGA
rnacentral:rRNA from 1 species